rnacentral:misc_RNA from 1 species
GGAAGUAAAAGUCGCAACAAGGUUUCCGUAGGUGAACCUGCGGAAGGAUCAUUAUCAUGUAAUUCAGUCCCCUUGGCUGUGUUAUAUAUAUACCCACUCUGUGUACCUUCUCCUGUUGCUUCCGCUGGGUGUGUAAUUCGCCCGGCGGAAGGGUAAAAAUAACCUCUGAGUAUUGAUAAAAUCUCUGUCUGAACCGAAUAGAAAGAAAAAUGUUAAAACUUUCAGCAACGGAUCUCUUGGUUCUC